CUCUCUUUGAUCAUUUCCAGAGGGAGCUUCGGGAGGUUCUCCAGGACCUUCAGAAUAAGUCCUUGCUCCAAGACUGGUGCCAACCGCAGUCUUGGAAGCAACUUAAAACUCUCGCCAAUUCAGUAUUGCAACAGAAAUGCAGAGUGAGUCUAAAUGGAAGCAGAUGGGAGAAUUAGCUAUGUCUAAUGGAAGGUUAGAUAUGGCUGAGGAUUGUUUGAAUCAUGUGAUGAAUUUGAGC